CCGCGCACAGCAGUGACGCCAGAAUUNNANCUUGCUCAUUGAGGUUGCGCCCGACAGGCGACCCUGACCUGGGGAACCUGACCGUCACACUGGAAUUACUCCCGUAUACCGCGCGCUGAUACCGCGAUUAAUUGUGAACUGCAGAGGCCGAAUUUGAUUAGCGAUUUCGCCUGGCACUUGUAGAUGGACCCGAGAUAUCACUAGCUAGUUGGAGAGGAAACCGCUCCCCAUCGCGACAAAGCGAACGCCCCACCUUCCAAGCUGAACGCCCCCCCUGGACCUGAGACACGGCCCAGAGUCCUACCGGAGGCAGCAGUGGG
rnacentral:rRNA from 1 species